ensembl:lncRNA novel transcript, sense intronic MYO1D
CCACAGAGCUCCACGAAACCUCCUCUAGUGCUGUAUACCUUGUGAAUGCUGAAUAGGUGAUGCAGACUGGUAAUGAACCAAGGAGUUUAAAACGCUAUUGUUCAAGUGGAGAUACAGCUGGGAGCCUUUGAGGUUGUGGAGCCCAGGUACAGUGGGAAGACUGCCUGGCUCCCCGUGUUUGUUUACGCGUUGGGAGUCAGCACGGGGCCUCCCCCACGGUGAGGAGCGCUGUCCCUGGAGAGCCUCUUGGAAGGCAGCCAUGAUCGUGGAGAGGAGUGUUCAUGUCUCAUCCGGGAAAUCUCUCACCGCCUGUGCCCCUUCCCUGUCUUCUCUCAGACAGCCCAUAGAAACACAUUAGCAUCCUGGGCCUGAUGCCAUUCCUUAAGCAAAAGGCACCUGCCCACCCACAUAUGUCCAUGAGUCCCACCAUCUAAUGCCUACAGGAAGUAAACCAGAAGUCUCAUCCGAGGACACC